CAGGACUCGGCGGCAGCAACGCGAGCCACCGAGAGUUGUUCGUUUGCCACGAGCUGCAAGGGGGAACUGCCUGGUAGUUGUCUCCUCCUCGAACCCAUCGUACUAAGGUGAUGCAGUGGUCUGUUCUUCAAUUGCACCAGGGGGUCUUAGUUCAAUCGUGGUUCUGGUUUGUACUAACAAUGGACCCAACAAAUGGGCUGCUAUGGCAGGUUGAAUCAUGACCUGAAUUUCUAAGUUUGACUCUAUCUGAGAUAGG